rnacentral:lncRNA from 1 species
AGUAAAUAUAAGCACUUCUUAACAAUUUAACUUACAAAUAUGCAAAUAUCAUGAUUUAAUUUUGUAUCCAGGACUUUAAGUAAACUAUGCAUACUGUAAACUGUGAAUUUAUGCCGAGUCAUCAUAUUUAAGGCCCAGGAUUCUAUCAAUCUUCAUUAAAUAUUUAUAAAACUUCUUAUUUGAGUUAAUUUCUUUAAAAUCUGU